AUUGAACGCUGGCGGCAGGCCUAACACAUGCAAGUCGAACGGUAACAGGAAACAGCUUGCUGUUUCGCUGACGAGUGGCGGACGGGUGAGUAAUGUCUGGGAAACUGCCUGAUGGAGGGGGAUAACUACUGGAAACGGUAGCUAAUACCGCAUAACGUCGCAAGACCAAAGAGGGGGACCUUCGGGCCUCUUGCCAUCGGAUGUGCCCAGAUGGGAUUAGCUAGUAGGUGGGGUAACGGCUCACCUAGGCGACGAUCCCUAGCUGGUCUGAGAGGAUGACCAGCCACACUGGAACUGAGACACGGUCCAGACUCCUACGGGAGGCAGCAGUGGGGAAUAUUGCACAAUGGGCGCAAGCCUGAUGCAGCCAUGCCGCGUGUAUGAAGAAGGCCUUCGGGUUGUAAAGUACUUUCAGCGGGGAGGAAGGGAGUAAAGUUAAUACCAUUGCUCAUUGACGUUACCCGCAGAAGAAGCACCGGCUAACUCCGUG
rnacentral:rRNA from 1 species